rnacentral:rRNA from 1 species
CCUACGGGAGGCAGCAGUAGGGAAUCUUCCACAAUGGACGAAAGUCUGAUGGAGCAACGCCGCGUGAGUGAAGAAGGGUUUCGGCUCGUAAAGCUCUGUUGGUAGUGAAGAAAGAUAGAGGUAGUAACUGGCCUUUAUUUGACGGUAAUUACUUAGAAAGUCACGGCUAACUCCGUGCCAGCAGCCGCGGUAAUGCGUAGGUGGGAAUCGUUGUCCGGAUUUAUUGGGCGUAAAGCGAGUGUAGGCGGGCUGAUAAGUCUGUUGUGAAAGCUUGCGGCUCAACCGGAAAAUUGCAUUAGAUACUGUCAGACUUGAGUACAGUAGAGGUAGGCGGAAUUCGUGGUGUAGCGGUGAAAUGCGUAGAUAUAGCGAAGAACACCGAUGGCGAAGGCAGCUUACUAGACUGCCACUGACAUUGAGGCUCGAAAGUGUGGGUAUCAAACAGGAUUAGAUACCCUGGUAGUC